AAGUCGUAACAAGGUUUCCGUAGGUGAACCUGCGGAAGGAUCAUUGCCACACACUAUGAAAGGGGUUGUUGGUUGUUUUGGUGUUUUCAUCAAUCUACUAAUGACUUUUUUUAUAUUUUACUGUAAUGUGAACUGUUGUGAUUGGUGUUGUUUCAUGAUGGUGUUCAUUCAUCACAUGAGAUAACUAUCAAUUGCUAUUUUUAACCAAAUGAACUGUACAUCGGAAUGUAAAUCAAGUUUUGUAUAUGUGUAACGCAUAUAUUCAAACUUGUAAAUUUGUGAAUUGAUUAUACAACUUUUAACAAUGGAUAUCUUGGUUCUU
rnacentral:misc_RNA from 1 species